UACGGGGGGGGCAAGCGUUGUUCGGAAUUACUGGGCGUAAAGGGCUCGUAGGCGGCCAACUAAGUCGGACGUGAAAUCCCCAGGCUCAACCUGGGAACUGCGUCCGAUACUGGAUGGCUUGAAUUCGGGAGAGGGAUGCAGAAUUCCAGGUGUAGCGGUGAAAUGCGUAGAUAUCUGGAGGAACACCGGUGGCGAAGGCGGCAUCCUGGACCGGCAUUGACGCUGAGGAGCGAAAGCUAGGGGAGCAAACGGG
rnacentral:rRNA from 1 species